GGGGAUAUGGUUCAGGUGGUAGAGCACCUGCCUAGCAAGCACAAGGCCCUGAGUUCAAACCUCAGUUCUGCCC
rnacentral:tRNA from 1 species